UACGAAGGGGGCGAGCGUUGUUCGGAAUUACUGGGCGUAAAGGGCGCGUAGGCGGCCCCUUUUGUCGCGUGUGAAAGCCCCGGGCUCAACCUGGGAACGGCGCGCGAAACGGGGGGGCUUGAGUUCGGGAGAGGAGAGUGGAAUUCCCAGUGUAGAGGUGAAAUUCGUAGAUAUUAGGAAGAACACCGGUGGCGAAGGCGGCCCACUGGCUCGAUACUGACGCUGAGGUGCGAAAGCCAGGGGAGCGAACGGG
rnacentral:rRNA from 1 species